AUGUGGAAUGGUUCGUGGAUUAUUUGUGGGGAUUUCAACGAGGUUAUUUCUCAAGAUGAGCACAUUGGCCCUCAUGACCACUCGGAGCAACAAAUUGUUGCAUUUCGUGAGUGCUUGCGGGACUGCGAGUUAAGGGACUUGGGCUUCUCCGGUCCUAAAUUUACUUGGUGCAAUCGUCAGGACCCAAAGAGCCAUGCUAAAGUCCUUCUUGAUAGGGUUGUGGUGAACAGUGCAUUUACAUAUUGUUAUGAUGGUUGUUAUGUGGAGAAUAUUGUUGCCACUUCUUCUGACCAUUAUGCCAUCCGAAUUGGGCUCUCUCAUUCUGUACAGGAAGAUGUGCGUCGCCCGGUGCAACAAGGUUUCAAGUUUGAGGCUAUGUGGCUUCGCGCCACCGAUUACAAAAAUACAUUAGAGCAAGCUUGGGCUGAUGGUAGAAAUGGCGAGGUCUCUCUCAAGUCCAUAUGGGAUAACUUACAGAAAGUUGUUGCUUCUUUGAAGACUUGGAGCCGUGAGUGUUUUGGUUCGGUCCGAAAGCAGAUUUACAAACUAGAACAACGACUUCUGUAUGUAAGGUCUGUCCCGGUCUCGGCUGCAAUUGUAGCCGAUGAACGUGAUCUUGAGAAACGGUUAUGUGAGCUAUUUGAGACGGAAGAGAUCAUGGAAUGCCAGCGCUCCAGGAUUGACUGGCUCAAGCAAGGGGAUCGGAACACUAGUUUUUUCCAAGCCCGCACAAAGGCUCGGAGACGCGCCAACAUAAUACACUCUCUUCAACGGAAUGAUGGUUCUUUGUGUGAGUCACAAGAAGAGAUGAAAAAUAUGGUACAUAAUUUUUAUGAAGAGCUUUUUUCUUCUCAACCAUAAUUACUACGAAACCCAACACUUGAUGCUAUUCCUCAGAAAAUUACUUCAGAGAUGAAUGAUGAUUUGUGCAGCCAUACUCUAAUGAGGAGAUCAAGACUGCUUUAUUCCAGAUGGGGCCAACAAAGGUGCCAGGCCCGAAUGGUUUUCCGCAAUUAUUUUACCAAACCCAUUGGGACUUUCUUGAGGAGGAAAUUUGUCACGCUGUCAGUAGCUUUCUUGGAGGUAAUCCUAUCCCUGAUGUUUUUUGUGAUUUUGUGA
rnacentral:rRNA from 1 species